rnacentral:lncRNA from 1 species
GCACAAUAUUGUUAUUAUAUUAUUGUAACAUCUCUUAUAUUCUGUAGAUUCCAAAUGUUUAGAAGUAGCAGAAGUACUGCUGGGCCUACCUGCAGACGAAAGAGAAGACAAGUCACGCAAACACGCAAUGUGACUUUCAGAAUGAUUCUGUUAAAAAAACAUGUUGAGCGAUAUACAUCACAUACUGAUGGAAGUCCACAAUGCAAAAUCAUCAUCCCAUUACACCUAAAUGAAAUUGAAUUUAGGGAGGUGCUGAGAGAAAAAUUCCCUGACCUCCCAGACAGAUUUGAAUUUUGCAAAGUAGCCGGAAACCGAAAGGUGAUACCAAUUCAGCUGUCAGUCUUGUGCCCAGCUGAAAUUAAAGCAAGCAAUGUGCUGGGGCGGUCAGCUCUAUACAUUAGACCACUGGACAUUCCAAGCCAAACCACUUCGGGUGCCCAUAGUCAUUCAAAUCCGGAGGCAACUGAAUCAUCUCCAUCUAUUUCCCUAAACCCAGCUGCAUCUCCAGAGCAAAACCAUACAUUUGUGUCAAGCCCCUCAACUUCCACAACAGUACAUAACAUGUCUUCACCCGCUCAAAGCCCCUCUGAAGUUGAUCAUUAUCAACGAAGACAUGGCAGAUUUUUUGAGGAAUCAAGGGAGACUGACAGUAAUUCUGAGGAUUUAGAGAUUGACAUGCUGGCUUCACCUCCAAGACACUGCAGUCCUGAUUUGCACAAAUACCUUGUGGAUAUUUUGGAGGAAUUCAGGAGGGACAAUUUAGACCUGACCACCCAUGUCACUGUCGUGGCCCGCCGAAGAAGAGUAUUACCUAGUGCGUGUGUUGCUCUUCAUAAAUCCUACUUUGAAUGGCAUAAAAUACCAAACAUUGAAUUUGUUGGUGAGAUGGCGGAAGAUUAUGGAGG